AGGUGUGGCGCAGCUGGUAGCGCACUAGUUUUGGGAACUAGAUGCCGCAGGUUCGAGUCCUGUCACCU
rnacentral:tRNA from 1 species